rnacentral:rRNA from 1 species
UACGGAGGGUGCAAGCGUUGCUCGGAAUUAUUGGGCGUAAAGGGUAGGUAGGUGGUCUCAUUUGUCUGGGGUGAAAGCCUUGAGCUUAACUCAAGAAGUGCCCCAGAAACGGUGAGACUAGAGUCUUGGAGAGGGUCGUGGAAUUCCCGGUGUAGCGGUGAAAUGCGUAGAGAUCGGGAGGAACACCAGAGGCGAAGGCGGCGACCUGGACAAGUACUGACACUCAACUACGAAAGCGUGGGGAGCGAACAGG